CCAACCGUCAGAUGGCAACAAUUUUCACAGUAGUGACUGUCGGACUGUUUAUGUUAGUGUGGUUCUGGUUCAUAUUAUGAAUUGAGUGAGCGAGAACACAAAAAUGGGUUAACAUUUGAUAUUGGUAGACGAAGCUACCCCCUCCCCCGUCAGCGUCAAAUCUUUUUUCCCCAAUAACGUUAACGUUCCGUUUCGUUGAACGCCGCCAGUUUUGACGUUUCCUUGUCUUCCGUGUAGUGUUGGUCACUCUACAGUUGGGCGUUGUUACUUGUUAGGGCGGUGGUUGCUGCUUAUUGAGAUGUAGGUCGUGGUGGAGUUUGGUAUUACGAAUUUUGGUGGAAAUGUUUUAAUAUGCAACAGUGGUUUGAAAAAUGUCC